rnacentral:rRNA from 1 species
UUAGGAAAUUUUCCCAAUGGGCGCAAGCCUGAGGGAGUAACGCCGCGUGGAGGAUGACGGCUUUCGGGUUGUAAACUCCUUUUCUGUGGGAAGAGAAGAAGACGGUACCGCAGGAAGAAGCCUCGGCUAACUACGUGCCAGCAGCCGCGGUAAUACGUAGGAGGCGAGCGUUGUCCGGAAUUACUGGGCGUAAAGAGCGCGUAGGCGGCGCACUACGACAGGUGUGAAAGCCCCCGGGCUCAACUGGGGAGGGUCAUCUGUAACGGGUGUGCUGUGAGUGCAGGAGAGGGAUGUGGAACUCCGGGAGUAGCGGUGAAAUGCGUAGAGACCCGGAGGAACACCAGUGGCGAAGGCGGCAUCCUGGCCUGCGACUGACGCUGUGGCGCGAAAGCUAGGGGAGCGAACGGGAUUAGAUACCCCGGUAGUCCUAGCCGUAAACGAUGGACACUAGGUGUACGUGGUAUCGACCCCACGUGUGCCGGCGCUAACGCAGUAAGUGUCCCGCCUGGGGAGUACGAUCGCAAGAUUAAAACUC